AUCUGGCAGCCUCAGGUUGCCCGAGUUGUAAUCUAUAGAAACGUUUUCCGCGUUGGCCCAUGUACAAGUCUCCUGGAAUGGAGCGUCAUAGAGGGUGAGAAUCCCGUCCUUGACAUGGACUACCAGUGCUUUGUGAUACGUUUUCAAAGAGUCGAGUUGUUUGGGAAUGCAGCUCAAAAUGGGUGGUAAAUUCCAUCUAAAGCUAAAUAUUGGCGAGAGACCGAUAGCGAACAAGUACCGUGAGGGAAAGAUGAAAAGCACUUUGGAAAGAGAGUUAAACAGUAUGUGAAAUUGUUGAAAGGGAAACGAUUGAAGUCAGUCAUGUCUAUUGGACUCAGCCGGUUCUGCCGGUGUACUUCCUUUAGAUGGGGUCAACAUCAGUUUUGAUCGCUGGAAAAGGGCAGGAGGAAUGUAGCACUCUCGGGUGAACUUAUAGCCUUCUGUCGUAUACAGUGGUUGGGACUGAGGAACGCAGCAUGCCUUUAUGGCCGGGGUUCGCCCACGUACAUGCUUAGGAUGUUGA
rnacentral:rRNA from 1 species